UGGUGAUUACAGGAAACCCUCCUGGAG
rnacentral:piRNA from 1 species